CCUUGACUGACAAGGUUGCCGAGGAGAUCAAUGAGGAGCUGUGCCAAAGGCCUUUUGGAAGUACAAGUAAACAUCACCUGCUGGUAAACGUGUGUCCUCAUCCUUGUUGGCACCUUCGAAGAACGGUGAAGAGUCAGUGAGACGAAACAUAAGGGGAUUUUUGAAGACACCAAGCAGAAGCUCUGUGAAGUCCUGAAGUGAGACCCUGUCGCACUGCUACUCCCCAGUGACUGGCAAUUCUGAGCCAGAAAACCUCGUCACAACAGCAACGCACCUUCAUGUAGCUUCAUUCCAGAUGGCUUUGCAGGAGAGAAACAGGAACCACCAGCUGGUAGCUACUGGAGCAACAGCAGCAGCAGGUAAAUUUUGCCUGCCCAUUCAUAAAUCAAAAGCAGGGGCAAUAUAGAGGAGCAUUCUUCGGUGUCAGUUGCCCUGGGACUGGAGAACAGAAGGGGUUCACACUCUGGCUUCUGCCAUCAGCCACAAGCUGAAGGCCACUGGAAGACUGUGCCCUCUGCUUCCCAGGAAUGUCAAGCCAAGGGGGAGACCAAUCUGGCCCAUCUGUUGGUCACUGGAGGAGGAGCUGCAGUAAGGAAGCACUCACGAAGAGUGCCAGGAAGAGCACUCAGCUCCAGCUGCAGGUGGCCCUGUGAAUGCAGAAGGAAGGGGAAAGAGGUCUCUGGUCAUUGGCCAAAGGAACAAAGAUCAAUCAAUUACUAGUCAGGGAAUAAUAUUGGCAAGGGAAGUGCAGCCCGGCCGGAUAUGCUUUCAAAUGCCAUCUUGUUCUGCCCUUGAAAAUCUGAUCUUCCAUCUCUUCCUUUUCUCUUUCCUUGUGAGUCUUGCCAUUAUGAACUGCUUUGAAAGGCAAUAAUCAUGUGAACGGGGAGAAUGAAAUAUUGCAAACAAGCAAACUUAGAGAUAGGUGUGGAACUGGAUUUAUACUCCACACAUUUGUGCAAUGCUUCUUUCAAGUCAUAUUUAUGGCCUUCAAGAGCACAGUCCUAUGGGGAUGCCCAUAGUGUCCUGUGGAUCCACCUUCUGGUGCAGGUGCACUCUAAGGCUAGGUGGAUCGUCCGCCUUCCUCUGAGGCACUGCAAGGGACACAAGGCCCUCAGGAGGAGGAGACAUCAGAGUCUAUCAGUACUGGAGGAUACCAAGCAGUUUCCUUGAAGGUACUAGCGAUAUCAGGGGUUCUACAGGGUUGCUGGACACUGUAGACUCUAAACCUUCAUCCAAAGAGCAUGCUGGCCUGGGCCUGGAUAAGGCUUGACAGUAUCUUUAAUUUCCUUUCAUAUUAGGGGAAUGAAAGAUCCCUUGACCCUUGCCAAGCCUUACAUAGUAUAGCUGUACAGGAGCCAACCAAGUUCUGCUUUCCAAAGUUGCUGCAACAGUGCAUGGUACGGGUUCAAUUCCAUGCCAUGGUACCAGAGCCUUUGCAUCCAAUCUUAACCCCCUUUAUCUUUCCCAGCAGACUAUAAGGUCCAAUUCUGAACAUCUAUUCAUGUCUCCCAGGUGAUUGCUUUUGAGAAAGUGUGAAGCUGUUGGUGCGUUCUUAACAACCCAUUUGGGAUCUGUUGGUAAGGAGGCAAGCUAGAAGUCCCAGGACAAGUAGGCCUGGUCAGUGAACUGGAAGAAGCAGAAUCCUGUGUGAUUGGCUGAGCCUGCAUAAGCUGAUCAAGGGCCAGAACACACCCAGGCCCAUAAGACUCACCUAUUGGCAGUAUGUGCUUCAAGCUAAAAGCAUGAACACCUCUUUUGCCUUUGGCCCUGCCCUUUUUCCCUCCCCUGCCACUAAGAUGUGGUCCCAAAGAGCUUCUUCCUCGAGCUGGAAGAGAUUCGUAACUCCUGAACAUGAUGGACAAGUUACCUGGACGAAUCUCAGUUCAGUGGUACUUGCUGCUACACACUGGAUUUUCCCAGGGAAUUAAUGCAAGAAGUAGUGGAGGAUUUUGAUGCAUGUGCUAUUCUCACGUAUACAAGAAAUAGAACCCCAAAAUCAAACCCUGUCAAAUAACUGGG